UUGCCCAUGAUGGUUAAAGAAUUUCUUCACCUGAAUAAACCAUGUGGUUAAAGAGUGUUUCUGAGGCAAA